AUCACUUCUUGGCAUUUUAGCUAAGAUAAAGGAUAGUAUAUGUUCUUGUCAGUUUAAUAUCUGAGGUGUCCUCUAUCCGGGGAUUAUACAUUAAAUGAAUUUUUGGAGAAGGGUGAUGAAAUAGGAAGUUGUUCAGUUCACUCCACACAUUGACUUGGUAUUGCAGUACCUCUAGGCAUGAUGGAGGAAAA